CAAGUCGAACGCGAAAGCCCCGCAAGGGGCAAGUAGAGUGGCAAACGGGUGAGUAACACGUGGGUGACCUGCCUUCGAGUGGGGGAUAACGUCCCGAAAGGGACGCUAAUACCGCAUGACAUCCUGCCUUUGGAAAGGCGGAGAUCAAAGCUGGGGAUCGCAAGACCUGGCGCUUGAAGAGGGGCCCGCGCCUGAUUAGCUAGUUGGUGGGGUAAUGGCUCACCAAGGCAACGAUCAGUAUCCGGCCUGAGAGGGCGGACGGACACACUGGGACUGAGACACGGCCCAGACUCCUACGGGAGGCAGCAGUGGGGAAUUGUUCGCAAUGGGCGCAAGCCUGACGACGCAACGCCGCGUGGAGGACGAAGAUCUUCGGGUCGUAAACUCCUGUCGAGCGGGAAGAAACCCAUGGGGGUGAAUAGCCUCUGUGGUUGACAGUACCGCUAAAGGAAGCCCCGGCUAACUCCGUGCCAGCAGCCGCGGUAAUACGGGGGGGGCAAGCGUUGUUCGGAAUUACUGGGCGUAAAGGGCUCGUAGGCGGCCAACUAAGUCGGAUGUGAAAUCCCCAGGCUCAACCUGGGAACUGCAUCCGAUACUGGAUGGCUUGAAUCCGGGAGAGGGAUGCAGAAUUCCAGGUGUAGCGGUGAAAUGCGUAGAUAUCUGGAGGAAUACCGGUGGCGAAGGCGGCAUCCUGGACCGGCAUUGACGCUGAGGAGCGAAAGCCAGGGGAGCAAACGGGAUUAGAUACCCCGGUAGUCCUGGCCCUAAACGAUGAAUGCUUGGUGUGACGGGUAUCGAUCCCUGUCGUGCC
rnacentral:rRNA from 1 species